rnacentral:rRNA from 1 species
CCUACGGGGGGCAGCAGUGGGGAAUAUUGCACAAUGGGCGCAGGCCUGAUGCAGCCAUGCCGCGUGUGUGAAGAAGGCCUUCGGGUUGUAAAGCACUUUCAGCGGGGAGGAAGGCGGUGAGGUUAAUAACCUCAUCGAUUGACGUUACCCGCAGAAGAAGCACCGGCUAACUCCGUGCCAGCAGCCGCGGUAAUACGGAGGGUGCAAGCGUUAAUCGGAAUUACUGGGCGUAAAGCGCACGCAGGCGGUCUGUCAAGUCGGAUGUGAAAUCCCCGGGCUCAACCUGGGAACUGCAUUCGAAACUGGCAGGCUAGAGUCUUGUAGAGGGGGGUAGAAUUCCUGGUGUAGCGGUGAAAUGCGUAGAGAUCUGGAGGAAUACCGGUGGCGAAGGCGGCCCCCUGGACAAAGACUGACGCUCAGGUGCGAAAGCGUGGGGAGCAAACAGGAUUAGAUACCCAAGUAGUC